AGUGAACGCUGGCGGUAGGCCUAACACAUGCAAGUCGAACGGCAGCACAGUAAGAGCUUGCUCUUACGGGUGGCGAGUGGCGGACGGGUGAGGAAUACAUCGGAAUCUACUUUUUCGUGGGGGAUAACGUAGGGAAACUUACGCUAAUACCGCAUACGACCUACGGGUGAAAGCAGGGGAUCUUCGGACCUUGCGCGAUUGAAUGAGCCGAUGUCGGAUUAGCUAGUUGGCGGGGUAAGGGCCCACCAAGGCGACGAUCCGUAGCUGGUCUGAGAGGAUGUUCAGCCACACUGGGACUGAGACACGGGCCAGACUCCUACUGGAAGCAGCCGCGGGGAAUAUUGGACAAUGGGCGCAAGCCUGAUCCAGCCAUACCGCGUGGGUGAAGAAGGCCUUCCGGUUGUAAAGCCCUUUUGUUGGGAAAGAAGAGCAGCAGGUUAAUACCCCGCUGUUCUGACGGUACCCAAAGAAUAAGCACCGGCUAACUUCGUG
rnacentral:rRNA from 1 species